GAAAGGGAAAAUGGUGGCCAGCUGUCAUUUGGGUGAAAAGUGUGAUUUCGUGAAAUUGUAAUAGUGUUGGGUUGGAUAAAGGGGGUGAAGUUGGUUGACAGAGUAUUAGAAAAUAAGUGCAUUACGUAAUGUUAGAAUAUUAAUGUGUAAAAACAAUCUAUAAAUCAUCGUCAUCUAGUCCGCUUAAGAAAACCAUCCUGCGUGUGUAAAUACAACCAUAGAUCCACACAGCCAAGCAGUGCAAUGAAAGCCUCCCCUCGACGUGCUUCACUGUUUACAAUCCUUAUUUCCCGUAUCACACAUGUGUGUAGAUAAUUUUCCAUAACCUAAACUACAGUCUAAUAUCCGAAAUAUAUGAACUCCCUUGAAUAGUGACACUCAUUAAAGUUCUCAAAUCAAUAAUUUUUAUUGACUUUUCAACCUAAAGGUUUGUUCUCCACCUUUGACCAACAGCUGCAUAAUAUAUUACCGAUCAAAUUUGAUAGCCAUCAUUGAUACAUUAAGUAAAUCAGCAUGGGUUCGAGUCAACAAUUUUCAUUACGAUGGAACAACUAUCUCAAACACAUAACAUGUGCAUUUGACACACUACGAUCUGAUGAGGAUUUGGUCGACGUCACAUUAAGUUGUGAAGGAAAGCGAAUAAGAGCGCACAAAAUGCUAUUAUCCGCAUGCAGCACAUAUUUCAGGGACUUAUUCAAGGAAAACCCAUGUCAGCACCCAGUCAUAAUAUUUCGAAAUGUUAAAUUUGAUGACCUUGCUGCCCUGGUCGACUUCAUGUACCAAGGGGAAGUAAACGUAGUUCAAGAACAACUCGGCAGUUUCCUCACAACGGCAGAACUUCUUGCAGUUCAGGGUCUAACAGACGGUACAGGAAAGGACACGGAUAGUAUGCUCGAGGAUGACACGGAUCUUCCGAACGAACCAGAAGUACAGCUCCAAAAUGCUCCAAGUGCAUUAACAACGAGUAAUCACGGUUCAACUUCACCCUCUUCACCAGCCCAUUUUUCCACUCUCGAUAUACAGACAGAAACUCCACCAAAUAAACGCCGAAAAUGUCGUGAAAGUGGGUCUAACGUGGAUAAAGGAACAACAAGCAACACAGUAUCUUCUAAAGAUUCAGAACGAAAGACAACUUCUGACAGCAAUACUACAUCAGGUGAUUCGGUUGAAAUAAUUCCCCUGAUGCCAAAUUUGAAACUUGAAAUGCCAGAAUACCUUGAACAAGAUGGCAGCAGUUGUAGUUACGAAGAACAAAGUGCAGGUGAAAGUUCAACGAACAGGAUCGCCUUGGAAGUUAAUCCAUCCGAAGGCAAAUUCAAUCAUGAACAUAAGCCGGAUAUUAGUCACUCAUUUUAUUCUGCUAAUCAGUCUACCUCUGAUGCGUCAUUAGAAACCAAGAAUCUUUCCGUGGACCAGGGCCAUUUGCUGUCCAAGCCGAGUACAUCUGGAGAAAGAUUAUCGCAGGAGGCAGCACAGGGUGGGAGUAUGAAAAGGACCGAUCUUUGGUACCCGAUAACAGAAGCUACGGGACGUGUGAAGUACGUGUGCAAGAUGUGCGGAGCAAAGUAUUCUCACCUACAGACAAUGACCGGGCAUUUCAAACUUCACUGGGGUCAGACGAUUUGUUAUCUAUGUGGAAAAGUAUUUAGCCGCAAACCUCACCUUGUACGACACUUGCUACAAAAACAUUCGGUGGAUUGGUCGCGUCGUGGGAAAUGCAAAACUACAACUCCAGAUACGCAUAACAGAAUAAAUUCAGCCUUCAAAAGCAAGUAGCGUAUCUCGUUCUAGAUUAAAGAUUUCUUUGUAACAGCUAUCACUUCAUGGAAUAAUUAUUGUUACUCAGAAUAAUUCAAGCUGAAAUCCAAACCGCGUCCAGAGAGCCGAUUUGAAUU
rnacentral:misc_RNA from 1 species